rnacentral:rRNA from 1 species
GACGAACGCUGGCGGCGUGCUUAACACAUGCAAGUCGAACGGAAAGGCCCUGCUUUUGUGGGGUGCUCGAGUGGCGAACGGGUGAGUAACACGUGAGUAACCUGCCCUUGACUUUGGGAUAACUUCAGGAAACUGGGGCUAAUACCGGAUAGGAGCUCCUGCUGCAUGGUGGGGGUUGGAAAGGUUCGGCGGUUGCGGAUGGACUCGCGGCUUAUCAGCUUGUUGGUGGGGUAGUGGCUUACCAAGGCUUUGACGGGUAGCCGGCCUGAGAGGGUGACCGGCCACAUUGGGACUGAGAUACGGCCCAGACUGCUACGGGAGGCAGCAGUGGGGAAUAUUGCACAAUGGGCGGAAGCCUGAUGCAGCAACGCCGCGUGCGGGAUGACGGCCUUCGGGGUGUAAACCGCUUUCGCCUGUGACGAAGCGUGAGUGACGGUAAUGGGUAAAGAAGCACCGGCUAACUACGUG